UCAGACUAGGCUGCAUUCACAGAGCAUACUUAUAAUCAACAGACAACACAAUAAAGAAUUUAUUGAAUAUUUAUCAAUUAACUCAACCAAUUUUAAUUGAUUUUAUUUUAAUUAAGGUUGAGGGUUCCUGCAACUUUAGCCUGGGAUCCCCAGAACUAAGUCAGAGUGUGGAGGGAGAAGAGAAAGGUGCCGUAAACACGGACUUAGAAAGUAGCAGUUUAUAAAUUUAAACAAACAAUUUUAUUUAAAUACAAAUUUAAAAUACAAUUUAUACUUACAAGUAUGUUGUUUUACAAACAGACUUCGAACUUGGAAUCCUUACUAAAGAACUUGAGAAUGGAGAGAGGAAUAGGAGAGUUGAGAGUAUUACAAUGUUAAACUUAAGUUAGGUUCUGCCUUUCACAAAAGAAUAGGCUCCCUUUAAAUAGAAAAUAAAAGAAUCUUUUACUAUUUAACUUUUACUAUUCAUGAAUAGUAUUUGGUCUGCCACCUAAUUUUGAACAGUGUUGACUUUUUACUGUAGAUGAACAGUGGAUUGUCUGCCACCGAAUCUUGACUUUUACUGUUGAAAUAGUACUUUGGCUUUUCCUGUAGAAACAGUAGUUUGGCCUUUACUGUUGGAUGGUGAAAUAAGGUUCCACCUGCCUUGUUUUAUAUGGAGUCCGAACAAGAUGAGGAUAAUGAUAAUCCUUUCUUUACUUUUCUUUUUAUCUUGUCGGCUUUCUUUUUCUUUUUCUUUAUUUUUUCUUUUCUUUCUUUUUCUUUAGCUUUAGCUUUACUUUUAAUUUUUACAANNN
rnacentral:lncRNA from 1 species